UACGGAGGGUGCAAGCGUUUAAUCGGAAUUACUGGGCGUAAAGCGCACGCAGGUGGCUGAGUCAGUCGAUUGUGAAAGCCCUGGGCUUAACCUGGGAAUUGCAGUCGAUACUACUCAGCUAGAGUAUGGGAGAGGGUAGUGGAAUUCCCGGUGUAGCGGUGAAAUGCGUAGAUAUUGGGAGGAACAUCAGUGGCGAAGGCGGCUACCUGGCCCAAUACUGACACUCAGGUGCGACAGCGUGGGGAGCAAACAGG
rnacentral:rRNA from 1 species